AUUGAACGCUGGCGGCAUGCCUUACACAUGCAAGUCGAACGGCAGCACGGGUGCUUGCACCUGGUGGCGAGUGGCGAACGGGUGAGUAAUACAUCGGAACAUGUCCUGUAGUGGGGGAUAGCCCGGCGAAAGCCGGAUUAAUACCGCAUACGAUCUACGGAUGAAAGCGGGGGACCUUCGGGCCUCGCGCUAUAGGGUUGGCCGAUGGCUGAUUAGCUAGUUGGUGGGGUAAAGGCCUACCAAGGCGACGAUCAGUAGCUGGUCUGAGAGGACGACCAGCCACACUGGGACUGAGACACGGCCCAGACUCCUACGGGAGGCAGCAGUGGGGAAUUUUGGACAAUGGGCGAAAGCCUGAUCCAGCAAUGCCGCGUGUGUGAAGAAGGCCUUCGGGUUGUAAAGCACUUUUGUCCGGAAAGAAAUCCUUGACUCUAAUACAGUCGGGGGAUGACGGUACCGGAAGAAUAAGCACCGGCUAACUACGUG
rnacentral:rRNA from 1 species